UCACCAAGUGAAUGCCUUUGAGUCUCACAAUCCACCAGUGACACCUAGCAGCAUGUAGUGGCAACCCAGUAGAAUGGAAUGAUGAACCUCUAGGUGUAGUUAGUGUAUGAUACAGUUCCUCUAUCGUGGAUCCCGACAAGACGGAGGUCAUGGAUAACUCGUCAAACUCCUAUCGUCUGUCAUAUGUCAAGAUUUAUUCGACUUAAGUUC
rnacentral:lncRNA from 1 species